rnacentral:lncRNA from 1 species
AAAAAGACAAGGCAGCAAGUUCCUUCGGCUUUGGAAAAGUCUUUUGAGAUAGGUGGCAUUACUGUCUUCACUGCCCAGAUGAAAAAGAAAGUGGAUGUGCUGAUUGCAGCUAUAGCAGUUAUCUCGUAACCAAAGGAACAACAAAGACAUUGUUAGCCUUAGAACAGAACUUAGCAGCUACCUACCUCUUGUUUUCUUAUUAUGUGAGAAAAAUAAUCUGUUUUAAGCUACUGUUGUGGGUUAUAAAGAGCCAAACACAGCUAAACUUAUAUCUUUUUUCCUGCUGUCU